CUGGACGCCCGAGGCUCACCCAGCCGCUGGUCCCUAAGAAAUCUGCCCGCGAAGAGACGGAAGGGUGCGAAGAAGCCGUAUCGCCUCUUAGCGCAGCCUGGAGAACCGGGCAGUGAGCGAGGACGCCGAGCACGCCUUUCGGAAGCCUGGAGAGCCUGACACCCCCCUCCCAGCGAGGACCCCGGGCGCCCCUCUCUGCAGCCUGGAGAACUGCCCACCCCCUCUCCCCCCAACCAGGGCCCCGCCAUCCCUCUCCGCAGCCUGGAGAGCCUGCCCACCCCAACCUGAGCGCUGGGCGCCCCUCGCUGCAGGGCGCCACCGACUCUCCCCGCCCCCACGGCCAAGGCUUGCCGGAGGGAGGAGGGCUGCAGCGCUUGCACUGUUUAUGCUUCUCCAGAGCUUCGGAGCAAGAUUUCCCCAAAAAGCCAUAUUAAAUAAAUAAAAGGAAAUUCAGCAGAUGGGAACAUGAAUCAAUGAAAACUCCCAUAUGAGUGCAAUGAUUUAUGUCACCAAAAAAAUAAAAAAAAAAAGAAACAUCAACAUCUGGGAGCUGCCUCGUCUCCUCUUGGCUGCUCGUUUGGAAUGGAUUCUCACUGUCGCUUUCCGCUUCUUUCUGGCCCUGGGAGAGGACACAAAGAAAUAAAGAAUGAAACUCA